GAGCGGGAGCGGCGCGCGGGGAGGGGAAGGGGUUCUCGCGCGAUUGGGCGAGGUUUCCGGUGUUGUGACUGAAACCCGUCAAUAUGGCGGCGGUCGGCCGCGGCCGCUCGCUUAAGAACCUCCGAAUACGAGGGCGGAAUGACAGCGGCGAGGAGAACGUCCCUCUGGAUUUGACCCGAGGUAACACGGGGCGCCGCGGGCGCGGGUGAGAGCGUGCUG
rnacentral:lncRNA from 1 species